GGGACCAGGCACUCCCUAUUCUUUGUGCCAAGAUGGUCUGGGGCAGGAUGGUGGCACAGAGAAGGUUAUGGGCAGCCAGGCAUACUGCGCUGGAGUGCAG